UACGAGGGGGGCAAAUGUUGUUCGGAAUCACUGGGCGUAAAGGGAGCGUAGGCGGGUGUUUAAGUUAGGUGUUUAAUCCUGGGGCCCAACCCCAGUCGUGCACCUAAAACUGGACAUCUUGAAUAGUGGAGAGGUCAGUGGAAUUGGGGGUGUAGCGGUGGAAUGCGUAGAGAUCACCAAGAACACCAGUUGCGAAGGCGGCUGACUGGACACAUAUUGACGCUGAGGCUCGAAAGCAUGGGGAGCAAACAGG
rnacentral:rRNA from 1 species